CGAUAAAUUUAUCCACAUUGCACCAAUACGAUCCUUAUAUGUCAGUUAUAUUUUAAAAGACAAAUGUAUCAACUAGCUAAUGAGCAUCAGUUAAUGAUCUUGUAUGCAUUGAUUCAACUUAAAACUAUUGUCUAAUCGGUUGUUAGGUGGAAUUUUCGAAAAAUCAAAAACAUUUAAAAAAAAUCUAAUUAAAUAUUUCGUGGAAGGGCAGACUAGAUUUUUUUUAGUGGUUGAAGACUAUAAACCCUAGUUAUCACACACAAAAAAUUAGAAUUUUUCGAAGAUAUGCAUUUUCAUCAUCCAACUAGUAAGACUGUCGUCAAGUACUUUCAGUAAAAAAAUAGCUAUUCGAACACACCUUCCCUGUUUUUGUGACUCAUUAGAUAGGUAUUUCACUUGACCCA
rnacentral:lncRNA from 1 species